rnacentral:rRNA from 1 species
UACGUAGGGGGCUAGCGUUGUCCGGAAUCAUUGGGCGUAAAGCGCGCGUAGGCGGCCCGGUAAGUCCGCUGUAAAAGUCCAGGGCUCAACCCUGGAAAGCCGGUGGAUACUGUCGGGCUAGAGUCCGGAAGAGGUGAGUGGAAUUCCGAGUGUAGAGGUGAAAUUCGUAGAUAUUCGGAGGAACACCAGUGGCGAAGGCGGCUCACUGGUCCAUUACUGACGCUGAGGUGCGAAAGCGUGGGGAGCAAACAGG